UUGGAGGGCAAGUCUGGUGCCAGCAGCCGCGGUAAUUCCAGCUCCAAUAGCGUAUAUUAAAGUUGUUGCAGUUAAAAAGCUCGUAGUUGAAUUUCGGGAUUGACGUGAUGGUCAUGCCUUAAGGGGUAUGAACUGUCACUGUUGAUUUCUCACCUUCUGGAGAAACUUGAUGUCCUUUAUUGGGUGUCUUGCGGAUCCAGGACCUUUACCUUGAAAAAAUUAGAGUGUUUAAAGCAGGCAUUUUUGCUCGAAUACAUUAGCAUGGAAUAAUAGAAUAGGACGGCAUGGUUCUAUUUUGUAGGUUUCUAGGAUCACCGUAAUGAUUAAUAGGGAUAGUUGGGGGCAUUAGUAUUCAAUUGUCAGAGGUGAAAUUCUUGGAUUUAUUGAAGACUAACUACUGCGAAAGCAUUUGCCAAGGAUGUUUUCAUUAAUCAAGAACGAAAGUUAGGGGAUCGAAGACGAUCAGAUACCGUCGUAGUCUUAACCAUAAACUAUGCCGACUAGGAAUCAGACGAUGUUAAUUUUUUAAUGACUCGUUUGGCACCUUACGGGAAACCAAAGUGUUUGGGUUC
rnacentral:rRNA from 1 species